rnacentral:ncRNA from 2 species
UAUCUUUGCCCGCGAAUUGGUUCCGGAUGCAUGUUUCCAUCAUCUGGAUUAAAAGGGAAUCGGGUGUAAAUCCCGGACAGUCCCGCUGCUGUGAAGCUCCGUUUAUAUCAUGAAAAACACCCUUGCCACUGAUAUGCAUUGAAAUAUCGGGAAGGCUUCAGGAUUAGGAGUCAGUCAGAAGACCUGCCAUUCAUUAAAGGCUGCC